ensembl:lncRNA
UACCCCUGCAAGGGUGUCCUAACCUUACCUCUCUACUAUUUUCUGUUCUGUUGAUUCUAUCACCUGCCAUCUUCUACUUUGUGCCUCAAGGUUUAGAUCAAAUCAGCCUUUUUCUCAAUGCUACAGAGAAAGGAUCCUAUUUCAUAGAUAUUUAUGUUUUAGUCUUUGUUACAAGUCUUCCCAUAAAAUGCUUCAGAUUACAACAUUUAGAGAAGCAGGGCCUCAGUCAGUGGCCCUCAGGACUUCACAGACUCUCUUCAUCUUCGCUACAUCCUCCAGUUCUCUGCCCUUUGACUGAUUGUUUUAAAAAUUCCUGAACAGAACACCAACGUCUUAUGCUCUAAGAUCAAGAAUCGAUAAAUGGGACCUCAUAAAAUUGCAAAGCUUCUGUAAGGC